AUUCAGCUUCCCAGGUGUAAACAUUAACAAUGGCGUCAAUUUUGCCUUAUCAAUUCGAGCCCGAGUCAGAUAAUGAGAAUGUAGAAGAACAAGCGAAUCGAACAGAACCACAUUUAUAAGCAAGACUUGAACAGGACGUUUCACAAUGAAUGCCCAGUGAAAUCGAAAACAUCUGCUGCAAGGAAAUACAAAAGGUUGUAAAACGAAUGAAGCAGGUUCCAGACCCUUCAACAUGUAUGGUACACCAUCCAGGCUUUGAAGCAAACUGUUUGAAUCCUUACACCUUGCAAAACAUCCAUAACAUUUACCGAGCUGACUAUGGACCUCUGAGGCGCAGAACUGAAGAAGAGCGGAACCAUUAUCUCGCCUAUCGCAGCUUUGUCAGCUGGUGCUGGGGUUAUUUAGGUCGGAAUGUCAGGGUUGUCAUCCCAUCCUGUGAUGUUAGCCGGAUCCACCAGCAGUUUCCUGAACCAGCUGGACAGAUUGAUGGCUUUCGACCACCCGUCAACUAAAGCCUUCUUCGACUUGGGGAAAAGGACCUUGUACAUAGCUUGUCCGCCAGAUGUUGUUGCUUGCUUGCGGUCAGCAUUUUUGUUGUAGUGCAUGGACUGCAAGGUAUAAACUGCAAUCAAUGAACAAUCCAUGAAAUACUUCAAACUUAGUACAUGGAAGGCCAAAAUAAGGGGGUUUGGAACCGGGUUGAAAAAACAGCGUCUCUUCGACAUGUCGACAACAUACUGGCGCUUUUCCAGUGCAUGGUACAGCUCGGCUCGGCCUGCUUUUUUUUUACUACAGCAACUCAACCAGGCCUCGCCCCCUUUAUUUUUUUGAACAUGCCUUGGGCGGGAAUUAUUUAAAUUUGUGAUGCAGAUGGAUCCUGUGACGUAGAUGGAUCCCGGAAAAAAACUCAGGACUACAAUGUAUUCCUUUUAGGGAGUUCAGAAACAGUGCUAAACUAAUAUAGACAAUAACUUGUUUUGGAGUGGACUUUGUGCUUUGUAACUUUACAGAAAUGUUUUAUGCUCAAACAGCAACAUUACACACUAAAAGAAGUUGAAAAUGUAAAAAAAGCAUACAAUGACCCUAGAUUCACCAAAUUUGAGUAAAAUUUUACAAUUUUAAUUAAAAAAUAUAUAAACAAACACGAUCAUGACAAAUGUUUCAAUUAGUCAAUACACCCUUACAUUCUAGUUUUACCCACAAAUUUUAAGCCAUGUUGCCAUGCUGUUCUUUAGAAUGACUAAUGCAGUACAAUUCUUGGGGAAAAUGAAUGAUAGGCUACAUCAAGACUUUAGGUUAGAAUUUAAUCAAGGCUAUAAUCAGCAUGUACAUGUCUUGUAAAUGGUCACCAUUUCCUUUAAGAUUAUUUAAAGAAUUUUUAAGCACAUUUUUAAAUUCACUAAUUCAUUUUAAAGGAUAACUAUCUCAAAGUUGCAUGCAUCGUAGUUAUAUGUGACAAAUAAGAUGGCUUUAAUGUGUUUUUGUUUUUAAUUAUUAGUAUGUCUGCCAGUCCCUGCUUUCCAAACGGGAUAAAUCCGCCUCCAAAGGGCACAUCGAAGGGGGAACGAUAGUGGCCGCCAUGUUGAAGGGUCAUUCCAAACUGAAGGACUCAUAAAUCACUGCUUUGAAAGACACUUCAAAAGGAGCAUUUCCAUAGGGUUCAACUGAUGGCACUUCGCUGCCAAGUGGGCCGGAACCGGACCAUAAGUCAUAAAUUGACAGGUUUGUUGUAAAUUAAACCAGCUGCACCUCUAAACACACUCUGGUUCUAUAAAAAAAAAAAAAAACAAAUCUUGGUUUUAUAAAGGCUAUUCAUUAUUAUAAUGCACUUUUUUAAAACAAUGAAACCCCUGGCUUUCUGUUUGAAACUGGCUUUUGCUUGUGUUAUUUUCCUGUAAAUUUACUUGAUCUGUUAUUCUAAUAAAGGAGUUAAAAUAAAACAAAUAUAUGUACUGUGGGGGCCUGGGUAGCUCAGUGGUAAAAUACGCUGGCUACCACCCCUGGAGUUCGCUAGUUCGAAUCCCAGGGCAUGCUGAGUGACUCCAGCCAGGUCUCCUAAGCAACCAAAUUGGCCCAGUUGCUAGGGAGGGUAGAGUCACAUGGGGUAACCUUCUCGUGGUCGCUAUAAUGUGGUUUGUUCUCGGUGGGCCGCAUGGUGAAUUGAGCGUGGUUGAGCAUGGUUGCCGCGGUGGAUGGCGUGAAGCCUCCACACGCGCAAUGUCUUCGUGGCAACGCGCUCAACAAGCCACGUGAUAAGACGUGCAGGUUGACCGUCUCAGACGCGGAGGCAACUGAGAUUCAUCCUCCGCCACCCGGACUGAGGCCACUAUGUGACCACGAGGACUUAGAGCGCAUUGGGAAUUGGGCAUUCCAAAUUGGGAGAAAAAGGGGAAAAAUCCCCCCCCAUAAGUGUAAUAAUUGAACAUAUACUGUACAGUUGUUUACGGGUUAAUAUUUUAAUUUCUUCAUAAAGUCUAAAAGAGAAUUUGGUUGUUAAUAUUAAGCUCAAUUAUCCGUUAUUGAGCACAUGUCUCCCUGGUGAUUUGUGCGCCAUGUGUUAAGUAUUUGAUUGAUGGUGUUCAUAAAGAGGACGUUGUGUUUGUUAUCUUCCCUGUAAACCUUUCCUCUUGCAUUUCCUUUGCAAGAGAAGCAGCAGGAUCAACACUGCAGCUUUGUUCUUUCUCCCCGGUUAGUUGCGUGUUUUCUUUUUAUUCUCUCGCCUGUGCCCAACAGCACCAAUAUUAAUCUAUAUUAUUAGGUUGAAGUGCAUUGAUGUGGUGAGCUUAGUGUAUGAGAGCCUUUCACACUGAAGGUAAGGCAUUUAUUUGGGCUUCAGUGGAGUGGUUUAUAAGGGUUCCAAUUUUAUAUUUUUGUGUAUUCCUAAUACAUUUUCCAUUGCAGGUGCGGUGUGGCCCUGUAUAAAGCUAGCUGCUGUUUCUUCAUACAUGUUUCUUUACAUCUGUUCCAGAAUGCUGUUUCAUCAGAUUCACUUUAUUGUUUGUUUUGCCAAACUUGUUGCACUACAUUUGUCUUGUUUCUGCAUUGUACAGUGCAAAACAUUAAAUUAAAGACAGUGGAAAAAAUACCUCAUUAUAAAUAACAUAAGUGUGUACAGUAUGUUGUUCCAGAAAUUAAAACCCUACAGAUACACAUACAAAAAAUAUUUUAUAAUGAAUGCUUGCCAAAUAAGAGCGAUCUCUAACGAGUUGGGCUCAGGCGCAUUCAGUAAGGCAGAAAAUCAGAUAAAGAUCGGGUUUUGUGAUAAUAACAUGGGAAAUUACAUUUACAUUUACACAAGCAUGUAUAAUUAACAUUAAGUAGAACUGAAACUGGAGCUGGCAGGUCCAAAGAUGCAAAACUAAUGCUGAACUUCUACCUUAUCUCCAGAAGUUGUUGGCUCGUUAUUUGUUUGACAUUUGAUUUCUCCUACCUUCGCUAUCUAGAGCCGACAAUUUUACAACAAUAUCAUAGCACAGUUAGGUUAAAGAAUAUAUGACUACAUCAUGCAGGCAUAAAACUUUGAACUUAAACGGUCAAUGCUAGUUGUAGCUGGAGAAUUAUGCCUAAAAAUGCUCAGAUGGGCUUUCAUUAACUAACGCUUGUAAGGGACCAUCUAAAAAUUUUCACCUACAGCACUAAAAUGUUGGAGGUGUCCAAGUAUUAAUUAAUUAAUUAAUUCAAUUAAAGUGUAAGUUAUGCAUACGAUUUACAAUCUUUAGAAUGUGUAAAUGUUUUUUUUAAAUAAGUGUUUAAGACAGAACAUGCAAGGCAGUUGCAUUGAACACUUGGACACCAAUGAUGUUUUAGCACAGUGUGUGGAUUUUUCAGACGAUCUCUUGUGAACCAUAAGUGACUAUUUAAUAAAUAUUUAAUUUAAAUUAAACUUUACCCCACUAAAUAUUAUUAUGCAGUCAUAAUGCAUUGAUGUUUUGUUUAAAUAUAAUUCAUAAAAUGAGAAUACCACUCUUUCCAUUCUACCACUUCAAUUUAGGCGGGCCACUUGGCAGGGUAACACUUUAUUUUGAUGGUCCCAAAUAGAUAUUUAACUGACUAUAAGUGACUUAUCAACUGGCUUGCUAUAACUAUCAAACAGUGUUUCAACAAACAUUCAGUAGACUUUCAAUAGCCUGUAUAUAGAUCUCUAUUAAUGACCUACUUACAUUUAUCAAAUGACUUACCCUUGGCAGGCCUAUUGACACUAGCAUGCCUUUGUAGUCACCAUGCACACAUAUACUCUUGCUAGCCUGUGUGUUGGCGAGCCCCCUGCAAAUGUGACUCACCUGUCCCACCAUUGCCCACCUGAUGGGACUAAACAACUAACUGCAGUGCAGAAGCACCCAAACUGUGAGGUCACGUGGUUGGAGCAUGAUAUUAGAUGAGUGUGUAACUUUAUCUUACCCAUUUAACCAUUUUACCAUCACUUCCCCUUGAAUGCAUAUGUGGGUCCUAUACUUUAUGACUGUGACGAGGAGUAGGGCGUGUCUGUGCCGUAACAAUGGACGCCGGAGAUGCCAGUUUGAAAGAAAGAGAGAGACGCACGCGGCCACGCUGUCUGUGUGUUUUAUGUUAUGUUUAUUUUCCUUUGUGUCUUUAAAAAGUUUACGUUGACUGCUCAGCUGGUUCCCACCUCCUCCUUGCCCAUCCUAUGAAUAUGUUACAUUGGUGCUGAAACCCGAGAGGGAGGAGGGAUGUGCUGUCAGAGAGCCCUUGCCGCUGAUGAAAGGUCGCGACACUGAGGAGGUAUGGUCCAGUAGUACUGGAGCGGUUCGCCAGAAGAUGGAGGAGCCCACUGCCAUCUGCCAGGAGACAAAGGAGCUGCUGCUGUCCGCCAGGAAGUGGAGGAGCCUCUGAUGUCCUCCAGGAGGCGGACGAGCCGCUGAUGUCUGCCAGGAGGCAGAGGAGCCCGCUGCCGUCUGCCAGGAGGUGAGGUCCAGUGCCAUCGCCCGGCGUCGCGGAGGAUCGCUGCACAGCUGGCUGAGGACCAGUCGACAGCGUGUCCGGGGACCGGCGAGCCAGUUUUUUUCUCUCUCCUCUCUCUCUGUCUCUCCCACUUGCUCUUUCCCUCUCCCCUCACCCUUGCCUCAUCCUACUCAGAUUCCCAGGAGGCAGGGAAGACCGGCUGGCAGAAGGAUGGCCGAAAGGGCAACACCUCCCCUCCAGGAAGGGAGGGGGGAGUAAGUCAGGCUGGUAGUUUCCCCAGCCUGAAUCGGGUGUUGGGGGAAUGUGACGAGGAGGAGGGUGUGGCCGGGCUGUAACGAUGGACACCCAGCUCUGAAUCAGCCCAAUCAGCCGGAAGAAGAAUACAUUUGAGCCGGGGACACCAGUUCGAGAGAGAGAGAGAGAGAGAGACGCACACGGCCACGCUGCCUGUGUGUUUUAUGUUAUGUUUAAGUUCCUACGUAUCAUUAAAAAGUUUACGUUGAUUGCUCAGCCGGUUCCCGCCUCCUCCUUGCCCAUCCUAUGAAUAUGUUACAA